UGGGGAUGGGGACACAGUGGGGACAGGGGUGGGAAUGGGGAUGGGGUCACAAUGGGGUUUGAGACACAAUGGGAAUGGGAUUAGGGAUGGGGACACAAUGGGGGUGGGGACACAAUGGGGACAGAGGUGGGGAUCCAAUGGGGGUGGUGACACGGUACGGAUGGGGUCACAGUGGGGAUGGGGUCACAGUGGGGACACAAUGGGGAUGGGAUUGUGGAUGGAGACACAAUGGGGGUGGGGACACAGUGGAGAUGGGUAUGGGGACACAGUGGGGACAGGAAUGGGGACACAGUGGUGAUAGGGAUGGGGACACAGUGGGGAUGGGGACACAGUGGAGAUGGGAGAUGUAUGGGGCUGCCCCCCCUCCUUGCAUUCUUCUCUCUUCACCUUAUUUCCCCCCUCCUCCCCCCCCAGCUCUCCUCCUUGCUUUCACUUUCCUUUUCCUGCUUGGACAACCAACCACGCACUGCCUUCCCCUCACCCCACACGGUAUCAUCCUGCUGACAAACACACGGAAGGACAAACACACAGAAGGACUUCUCUGGGGCGGUGUCGGGCAGAGUUUAUUUCCUGCACUGCCACUCUCUCUGCAGAUCCCGUUGCAGGAGCUGCUGGGAUGGCCUUUCGGAGCGUGGAGAUCCAACUGACCAACAGCACGAGGGAUGUGACCCUGAGCUCCCCCAGGGCCUACUGCUUCAGUGGCUACAACUCCGUGCCCCCCAGCCCCAUCAUCCCACCGGGAGCCACGGAAUGCUGCACCUUCAACAACUCCCCACACCGUUUCCGGGGCAGCGUGGGUGUCCUGGUGUACGAGGCAGAAACCUUCACCCUGGCCAUCCUCUUCUCCAACCCUUACAACUACAGCUUUUACUACAUGGAGUUUGCCGUGGAGAUCUCCCCAGAAAAAGCCCACCUUGGCUUGCUGGAGGAUGUCUAUAUGAGGAUGUACAGAGGUUUACCAGCAAAUCCCAGAAACAGUGGCAUGCUCCGGAAUGUCAAGCUCCAUGCAACCCAGGAGACCAUGAUGGUCUCUGCUGGUGGCACAAAGGUCAUGGCCACCAUGUCCAGUGCUGCAAAGUCCGUCAUUAAAGUAGUUGUGGAGAACAAGGAUAGUCCCCCCCCAUAUACAGAGGCAAUACCACACUUUCGCUUUACGCACCAUGAGCCAAGGAAAUUUAGAAAAUUCCAGAAGAAGGAAGGAAUGAAUGGUCCCUUCUUCCAGUAGGUGCUAAGCAGAGCGUGCUGCCCUCAAAAAAAAUGCUGAAGUAGAGCAGCAGUGCACAGAUGUUACUUCUAUUUUGUUUUGUUUUGCUUUCCUUCUUCUCUUUCUGUUCUUCCUUGCGGCUGGAAAAGGCAAUGGCAGCUGAGCCAGCAAAUCAUGACAAUAAAAAAGCAUUGCAGAUAACAAUAACAGAAAAGCGUUGUGGUGUCCUGGGGCAGCGGUGUGGAUGGGGGUGGUGGGUCUGAGCUUUGCUGGGUUUUGUGGGGAGGAACGGUGCAAGGUAGCUCUGAAAUGCCAAUCCAAGCCUGUGUCAUAACAGCAGCUCAGGACCAUGGCCAAGGAGGAAAUCUCCAAAGGGCUGAAUGGCAAUGGUUUCACCAUUGGGUCCCAUCUGCUAGUUUGGAUUCACUCAGGUGAGUCACUGCCUUUGGUGGGCAGUGUGGGAAGACCUGGAUGGGAAGACCCAUCGGAUUUACACUCCUUAACAGUUGGGUGAUGUUGGCAAAGGGACCUGGUGCUACUUUGGGCAACAAAGAUAUCUUGAUGGCCACCAGGAUGGUUAUCAACCAUACCUCUCUGAGGCUGAG
ensembl:lncRNA